UACGAAGGGUGCAAGCGUUAAUCGGAAUUACUGGGCGUAAAGGGUGCGUAGGCGGUUAUUUAAGGCUGCCGUGAAAUCCCCGGGCUUAACCUGGGAAUGGCGAUGGAGACUGCGAGGCUAGAGUUUGGCAGAGGGGGGUAGAAUUCCACGUGUAGCAGUGAAAUGCGUAGAUAUGUGGAGGAAUACCGAUGGCGAAGGCAGCCCCCUGGGAUAACACUGACGCUCAUGCACGAAAGCGUGGGGAGCAAACAGG
rnacentral:rRNA from 1 species